rnacentral:lncRNA from 1 species
AGGAACCGAGCCUUCGACUUUGCUCAUGUUAGGGCGAGGUUCUCCUCCUGUCCCUAACAUGGCUGUGGGGGCGCAUGUGGGUGCUGUUUGGCCUCUCCCCCCAUCCGGUCUAAGAGAAAUCGGGCCUUCGAUUUUGUUGAGACGAAGUUCUCCUCCUGCUCCCGGCAUGAUUUGUUUUGGCUGUCCUGUCGAUAUAGACUCGCGC